rnacentral:rRNA from 1 species
GAUGAACGCUGGCGGCGUGCCUAAUACAUGCAAGUCGAGCGAGUGGAUUAAGAGCUUGCUCUUAUGAAGUUAGCGGCGGACGGGUGAGUAACACGUGGGUAACCUGCCCAUAAGACUGGGAUAACUCCGGGAAACCGGGGCUAAUACCGGAUAAUAUUUUGAACUGCAUGGUUCAAAAUUGAAAGGCGGCUUCGGCUGUCACUUAUGGAUGGACCCGCGUCGCAUUAGCUAGUUGGUGAGGUAACGGCUCACCAAGGCAACGAUGCGUAGCCGAACUGAGAGGGUGAUCGGCCACAAUGGGACUGAGACACGGCCCAGACUCCUACGGGAGGCAGCAGUAGGGAAUCUUCCGCAAUGGACGAAAGUCUGACGGAGCAACGCCGCGUGAGUGAUGAAGGCUUUCGGGUCGUAAAACUCUGUUGUUAGGGAAGAACAAGUGCUAGUUGAAUAAGCUGGCACCUUGACGGUGCCUAACCAGAAAGCCACGGCUAACUACGUGCCAGCCGCCGCGGUAA